rnacentral:rRNA from 1 species
CGGGUGAGUAACGCGUAUGCGACCUGCCCGUUGCAGGGGGGAUAAUCGGGAGAAAUCCCGUCUAAUACCGCGUAACGCCGCGGGGCUGCAUGGCCCUGCGGCCAGAGGGAGCGAUUCCGGCAACGGAUGGGCAUGCGUGACAUUAGCUAGUUGGCGGGGCAACGGCCCACCAAGGCGACGAUGUCUAGGGGUUCUGAGAGGAAGGUCCCCCACACUGGUACUGAGACACGGACCAGACUCCUACGGGAGGCAGCAG